UACGGGGGGAGCAAGCGUUGUUCGGAUUUACUGGGCGUAAAGGGCGCGUAGGCGGUCGUGACAAGUCACUUGUGAAAUCUCCGGGCUUAACUCGGAACGGUCAAGUGAUACUGUCGGACUAGAGUACAGAAGGGGCAACUGGAAUUCUCGGUGUAGCGGUGAAAUGCGUAGAUAUCGAGAGGAACACCUGCGGCGAAGGCGGGUUGCAGGGCUGAUACUGACGCUGAGGCGCGAAAGCCAGGGGAGCGAACGGG
rnacentral:rRNA from 1 species